UACGUAGGGUGCAAGCGUUUAAUCGGAAUUACUGGGCGUAAAGCGUGCGCAGGCGGUUAUGUAAGACAGAUGUGAAAUGCCCGGGCUUAACCUGGGAACUGCAUUUGUGACUGCAUGGCUAGAGUUUGGCAGAGGGGGGUAGAAUUCCACGUGUAGCAGUGAAAUGCGUAGAUAUGUGGAGGAACACCGAUGGCGAAGGCAGCCCCCUGGGUCAAGACUGACGCUCAUGCACGAAAGGCGUGGGGAGCAAACGAGG
rnacentral:rRNA from 1 species